AACGAACGCUGGCGGCAGGCCUAACACAUGCAAGUCGAGCGAGGACUUCGGUUCUAGCGGCGGACGGGUGAGUAACGCGUGGGAAUGUGCCCUUCUCUACGGAAUAGCCCUGGGAAACUGGGAGUAAUACCGUAUACGCCCUAUUGGGGAAAGAUUUAUCGGAGAAGGAUCAGCCCGCGUUGGAUUAGGUAGUUGGUGGGGUAAUGGCCUACCAAGCCGACGAUCCAUAGCUGGUUUGAGAGGAUGAUCAGCCACACUGGGACUGAGACACGGCCCAGACUCCUACGGGAGGCAGCAGUGGGGAAUCUUAGACAAUGGGGGCAACCCUGAUCUAGCCAGGCCGCGUGAGUGAUGAAGGCCUUAGGGUUGUAAAGCUCUUUCAGCUGGGAAGAUAAUGACGGUACCAGCAGAAGAAGCCCCGGCUAACUCCGUG
rnacentral:rRNA from 1 species